rnacentral:piRNA from 1 species
UGAAAUUAUUGUCGGAAGUACUGCGGC